rnacentral:rRNA from 1 species
UAGGGAAUCUUCGGCAAUGGACGAAAGUCUGACCGAGCAACGCCGCGUGAGUGAAGAAGGUUUUCGGAUCGUAAACUCUGUUGGUAGAGAAGAACGUUGGUGAGAGUGGAAAGCUCAUCAAGUGACGGUAACUACCCAGAAAGCCACGGCUAACUACGUGCCGG